CCUACGGGGAGCAGCAGUGAGGAAUAUUGGUCAAUGGACGCAAGUCUGAACCAGCCAUGCCGCGUGCAGGAAGACGGCUCUAUGAGUUGUAAACUGCUUUUGUACGAGGGUAAACGCAGAUACGCGUAUCUGUCUGAAAGUAUCGUACGAAUAAGGAUCGGCUAACUCCGUGCCAGCAGCCGCGGUAAUACGGAGGAUUCAAGCGUUAUCCGGAUUUAUUGGGUUUAAAGGGUGCGUAGGCGGUCGGAUAAGUUAGAGGUGAAAGCCCGAGGUGCAACUUCGGAAUUGCAUCUGAUACUGUCCGGCUAGAGUGCAGUUGCGGUAGGCGGAAUGUAUGGUGUAGCGGUGAAAUGCUUAGAGAUCAUACAGAACACCGAUUGCGAAGGCAGCUUACCAAGCUACUUCUGACGUUGAGGCACGAAAGCGUGGGGAGCAAACAGGAUUAGAUACCCUUGUAGUC
rnacentral:rRNA from 1 species